CAUGGAAAGAGCACCAGUUUUCUUACCUGUAGGGUGGGGGUGGGGGGGUCAGAAUCUUGUCCCCUGCAGGGUUAUUGUGGUGACCACAGAUUGCAUUUGGAAGUGCGCUGUGCGCUACAGAGUGCUGAGCGAAUUAAAGGUUUUGUUGUUUUCUCUUCAAGGACCUCAGUGAACAUUUGUGGAACUGACCCACGCUGGGCUGGGCGCUGCCUCUCUUCUUGGCAAGGAGAAGAUGGGCCACAAAACGGGGCCUCAUCAGACAGCAGGAACCGUGCACCUGCCCUUCACAUCAGGACUCAGGCGCCUCGUGCAUUCUCCCUCCUCUCACAGCUGACCCUCACUCAGCUCCCAGGUUCUGUCCCUCCCCUCGGGUCCCCUGAGAUGGAAUCUUCAGGCCAGGCUUAUGGCUCCACUUUGCAGAUGAGAAAACUGAGGCCACAGUCAGGGAGAGGGGCCAGCACUGCCCAACAGCACCUCUGGUAAAGCUCUUUCCUUGCCUCGUCGGGACUGGAAGUAUUAGGCUCGUCCCAUGGGAGAAGAAGUGGUCGCUCAGGGGCGCUGCGUGAUUGAGGAGGACUCCAAGAGCUCCCCUUUGGGCCACUGAGAUCUGCACCUUGGCCUCCUAAGGUGGCCUGAACAGAUCACCACAGAUGCAGUGGCC
rnacentral:lncRNA from 1 species